UACGUAGGGUGCGAGCGUUGUCCGGAAUUAUUGGGCGUAAAGCGCACGCAGGCGGCUCUUCAAGUCUGACGUGAAAUCUCUCGGCUUAACCGGGAGCGGUCGUUGGAAACUGAAGGGCUUGAGGCGAUGAGAGGGGUGUGGAAUUCCCGGUGUAGUGGUGGAAUGCGUAGAUAUCGGGAGGAACAUCAGUGGCGAAAGCGGCACCCUGGCAUUAGCCUGACGCUCAUGUGCGAAAGCGUGGGGAGCGAACGGG
rnacentral:rRNA from 1 species